UACGGAGGGUGCGAGCGUUGUCCGGAAUCACUGGGCGUAAAGGGCGCGUAGGCGGCCUGAUAAGUAGGGGGGUGAAAUCCUGCGGCUUAACCGCAGGGCUGCCUUCUAAACUGUCAGGCUAGAGCACAGUAGAGGCAGGUGGAAUUCCCGGUGUAGCGGUGGAAUGCGUAGAGAUCGGGAAGAACACCGGUGGCGAAGGCGGCCGUGCUGGGCAGUUGGCUGACACUGAGGCGCGACGAGCGUGGGGAGCAAAC
rnacentral:rRNA from 1 species